CGCGCAGGCGGCCUUUUAAGUUGGAUGUGAAAGCCUACAGCUCAACUGUAGAACUGCAUCCAAAACUAUCAGGCUAGAGUGUGGGAGAGGAAGAUGGAAUUAGUUGUGUAGGGGUAAAAUCCGUAGAGAUAACUAGGAAUACCAAAAGCGAAGGCAAUCUUCUGGAACAUUACUGACGCUGAGGCGCGAAAGCGUGGGGAGCAAACAGGAUUAGAUACCCUGGUAGUCC
rnacentral:rRNA from 1 species